UCAAAUUAAAAUAUGGCUAAAUAAUUGAAUGAAAUAUUUUGACCCACACCCUUCUCCGUAUGUAACCCAACAUUUGGGAAAUUCACCCGAAAAUAUGCGUUGUAUCAAAACCAAAUUGUUAAUUCUUUCAUUAAAUUUGCGAGAAUUAUUAAAUGUGUGUAGAAAUUAUAUUGAGUUAGGUUAAUUAACAUUUAAACUAGUGCAAAAUCCCGAAAUGUCGGGUGGGGUUCGGAGCAGGGGAAGGGUAAAAACUCAGAUCCACAAGAGCAGGUAGAUGGUAAAUAAAGACAUUUAUUCGUCAUGCCUCGAGAACCAAAGUAACAUGGGUAUAUCACCCGAAAAUAUGCGUUGUAAUACUAAAUUCUUUCAUUAAAUUUGAGAAAAUGAUUUAAUUUUUACUUACUUUAUUCGUGUUGUGUGCGUGGAUGUGGAAAAAUAAUUUUCUCGGACCAGUGUUUGUGAAAAAUACGUCGUAAAGAAGGUUCGUGACGUCACAUCGAAAUUUCAAACUCAUUUUUCGGUAGGUUUUUGACUUUUCCGCACUUUCUUUUUACUUUUAACGGCUUAUUCGGGCGAUUUUACACCCAUAAAAGCAACAUGUAUAAAAUGUUGUAAAACAUGUAAUGAAAUUGUAAUAACAUAACCAAACAAAAUAAUAAAUCAAAUUAAUCAUGUUUAAGGUUAUUGAAGUUCUCGGUUAAGGAAACUUGGGCUCUUCAAAGGAAUCGGAAACAAUAAUUCUUGAUCGGAUUGAUAUAGUGGAUUAAUUGGAUCAGGAACCAGUUAAUUUUCUUCUUUAUUAUUAAAGAUUUAACGUCCGGCUUCAAAAAUAUGUUCAAAUAUUUAAUGUACGGAUUUUCGUCCAAUUUUUCAUCAAAACUCCCAUAUGAUGGAUGGUUUUCGUUCUUGACAUGCUAAAAUUAUCGUUUUGAAUGGUUUUAACCGAAACAAAGUGAAUUAUUUUAAGAAAUUAAUGAAAAAUGAAAUUUGAGGUUAUGUCACUGUCAAAAUUUUAAUGAAUUACUUCGUAACGACUUUACAUGGACUAAAUACGAUAAAUAACGUAAACGGUCAAUAAUACAUACAUGUUAAGAUUAUCGUUAUCAAUCGUUUCAAUCGAAAUCAUAUGAAUUAUAUUAAGAAAUUAAUGAAAAAUGAAAUUUGAGGUUAUGUCACUGUCAAAAUUUCUAUGAAAUUACUUCGUAUCGACUUUACUUGGAUUAAAUACGAUAAAUAACGUAUUUAAUCCAAGUAAAUAACAUAUUUACAACAUUUUAUUAGUACAAAAACUAAUUUUUAUGAUUAUUAUUCACCUAUGAUUAAUACGAUUAUCAAAAAAUAAUGAAUGACUUGUCUUGUCGCUACCUCCAUGUACAAAUAAAUAAAUAAACGUUUCUUUUAA